UUGUUUUUGCUUUAUUUCAUUUUUGUUUUCCUUAUUUAUAUUCAGUUACUGCCUCCAGCCUCCCCAAAAAACAGAAAGCGACUGUAAUUAAUUUCUAAUAAGAAAUAAUAUGAAUUCAGAUAUCAUGCAGGAACUUAAUCUUUUUAGUCUAAUUCCACAGAACGCCCUCAGAGCUCAAUUCUGUAGUCAUUAGUUGGGCAUUCAUGUCAAAGGCAAACCCAUUUCUAGAAAAAUGGAGAAACACAGAUAAUUUUAGACCCAUUAAAAAUACAAGAACUGUUCAAAAUAGCUAGUCUAGUGCAGAUUUUUUUGUUCAGACUUUUUCAGAAACAAGAUAUGACAUAAGUGUGGCCUGAUGGGCUAGUUCUCCAACCUUUGACCCGCACAAUGCAAGCCAGCCCCCGUUUAUCACAUGUUCCCAGGCCAUCCUGGGUUGGAGAUGGUGGAAACCCACGGUACGUUCAUAGAUAAGAGAACGGUUACAAAGAAUAGCUCUGAGUUCUUGCAAGCAUCCCCAAACCAGAAGGAUGAUUAAUAUUCCCACAAUGACCAGAAAAAAUGAGCAUCGACACCUUUGACAAAAGGUAAGCAGGUUAUUUGCUCAAACAGGAGAGGGAAAUGGCUCAUGGGAUUUU
rnacentral:lncRNA from 1 species